rnacentral:lncRNA from 1 species
CGUCCCUGCAGCCAGCAAAGGAGCGGGCCGCCUCCUGGUUGCCACGUGCGGCAACGGAUGGGGAGCCGGAGGGAGUGAAGACCCCAGGGAAAGGGCCGCUGGGGGAACUGCCGCCCGGGAGGACCCACGUGGAGCAGUGUUCUCUUGGAGGGCUGGAUAAAAAGAGCUGGGAAUGUGAGACUACGACAACCUUUCCCUUGUGUAAUGUCAAUGUCGGCUAUCACUUUGGCAGAAUCAGCCAGCUCAGUGAAGACACGAAAACCUUCCUUCCCUCCUGUUUUUUCAUCUGCUGGUGGCAUUCAAAGUGACCUUCCCUUGUAAAUAUUGCCCUCCUGAUAUUGUUUCAGCCCAAAGGGGAAAUCAAAUGAGAUAUAGAAGAUGCUAACUCACACAACUCUCAGGUCAUUAACAACUAAUUAGAAACAGCUUAGAGAUCUCAAUCAUCCUUUAGGUAAGAUGUGAGAGGGGGAUCAGAUUUAACAUCUUCACUUCCCUUUAUGUUUUAUAGACAGUGGCCAAGCAUACAACAAUUUUGACUUACGUUCUCUUCUUGUUUGGG